rnacentral:rRNA from 1 species
UACGGGGGGGGCAAGCGUUGUUCGGAAUUACUGGGCGUAAAGGGCUCGUAGGCGGCCAACUAAGUCAGACGUGAAAUCCCUCGGCUUAACCGGGGAACUGCGUCUGAUACUGGAUGGCUUGAGUUCGGGAGAGGGAUGUGGAAUUCCAGGUGUAGCGGUGAAAUGCGUAGAUAUCUGGAGGAACACCGGUGGCGAAGGCGGCAUCCUGGACCGACACUGACGCUGAUGAGCGAAAGCCAGGGGAGCAAACGGGG